rnacentral:rRNA from 1 species
UACGGAGGGUGCGAGCGUUGUCCGGAAUCACUGGGCGUAAAGGGCGCGUAGGCGGCGCGGGCAGUCGGUCGUGAAAGUCCGGAGCUCAACUCCGGAUCGGCGGUCGAUACUCCCGUGCUUGAGCACUGUAGAGGCAGGUGGAAUUCCGGGUGUAGCGGUGGAAUGCGUAGAGAUCCGGAAGAACACCGGUGGCGAAGGCGGCCUGCUGGGCAGUAGCUGACGCUGAUGCGCGACAGCGUGGGGAGCAAACAGG